UACGUAGGGGGCUAGCGUUGUCCGGAAUCAUUGGGCGUAAAGAGCGUGUAGGCGGUCCGGUAAGUCCGCUGUGAAAGUCGGGGGCUCAACCCUCGAAUGCCGGUGGAUACUGUCGGGCUAGAGUACGGAAGAGGCGAGUGGAAUUCCUGGUGUAGCGGUGAAAUGCGCAGAUAUCAGGAGGAACACCAAUGGCGAAGGCAGCUCGCUGGGACGUGACUGACGCUGAGACGCGAAAGCGUGGGGAGCAAACAGG
rnacentral:rRNA from 1 species